UACGGAGGGUGCAAGCAUUAAUCGGAUUUAUUGGGCGUAAAGGGCGCGUAGGCGGGGAUGUAAGUCAGAUGUGAAAUCCCGGAGCUCAACUCCGGAACAGCAUUUGAAACUACAUUUCUUGAGGGUAGGCGGAGAAAAUGGAAUUCCACAAGUAGCGGUGAAAUGCGUAGAUAUGUGGAAGAACACCAGUGGCGAAGGCGGUUUUCUAGCUUACUCCUGACGCUGAGGCGCGAAAGCAAGGGGAUCAAACAGG
rnacentral:rRNA from 1 species